CUGCCCAGUAGUUCUGAGGCUUGGAAGAACUUGCAUGGUGCAAAGUCAGAAAGAAGCCCAGCGUGGCUAAAAUACAGUGAGCGAGGGCGGGGUGUCCUGAGAGGUGGGAUUGGAGAGGUAGGCAGGGGCCAGAUCAGGCAGGACCUUGAAGGGCUGGCCAAGGACUUUGAAUUUCAUUCUGAGUGCAAAAGCCUUCUUACCCAACAUGUCACAGCUCCUCUUCCCAGUUGGCAGUGGAGCGGAGGACCUCUGGGGACCUCCUGUAGGAGGCACCCUGCUGCCUGCAGUGGGCGGCCGACCCAGACCCUGCCUGCUCAGCUAGUGCUCUCACCAACCUUUGUUCUGUUGCUUUUUUAUUUCAGAGGUCGUGUUUUCAUCUUACCCUGGAUUUUCAACCUCAGAGACGACCAAGGUCUGUGCUCUUCCUCCGGUAUUCGAGAUUCUUCCCGUGAACUCGCUGAAGGCGAGGAACCAGACGCUGGCCCCGCCCUUCCCCGAGCUGAGGUGCCUUAGCCUGGCCUACAACAAGGUGACUCCCUGCCCUCGCCCUCUCUCCGCGGGGACGUAGACGGGCAGCUGGGGUGUGCGCCGCUCCGGCCCGAAAGCGGGCUCAGGAGUUCCGGGGUGCGGGUUCUCCGGGU
rnacentral:lncRNA from 1 species